UCUGCUCCCUCCCUCAGCCUAAAACAUCCUGUUCUCUACGUGUCAGCGAUGAGGGCUCACUUGGCUCCCAAACCCCUCCAGGGAAGAGGUUGGGCUGAGGUUGCUCUCCAAAUCACACAGCACUAAUGCAUCACAUCUGGACGCAGCUGCGCCCUGGGCUGCACUGCACAACCGUCCGUGAGCUCAUCCAGGCCUCCGGAGGAGCUCUGCUGAGAGAGAGCUGGGGCAGAGCCAGGCCACCCUGUGCUGCGGCUCCCUCCCCGACGUGGGUGCUCAUGGCAUUGACCUCAGCGCAUGAUGGCAGAAAACACACUGCAGACCUCCGUUCCCAGCCAUGAAUUGGCCUCAGAAAUUAGCUACAAAGACCGAACCAGGAUGAGUCAAGGACAAGUUGCUUCUUGGCCCAGAAGCUCCCGCAAGGCAAGAACUGGGCAAGGGCUCCCUUUGCUUCACGCUUCCUCACCAGUAGAAAGGGGCUCACGAUAACGCCAGUUUCACGGGGCUUUGGGGAAGCUUAGACCAGAGGAAGAGUGGGGGAAGCUGAAGGAUUAUCACGACUGACCAUGCGCGGCCAAGGCUGUGGUUCCCGGUGCUCCCUUCCCUCCUUCGCUCCCGCCCUCCCUGACCUGGCCAGUUGGGAAAUGGACCUUCUUGGAUGCAGGGUUGUUUUCUCUGGCCUGGCUUCCGCUCAGGGCCUAUGCGCACCCCGGAUGGCGGGCGUGGGUGGAACAUGGUGAGAGCAGGCUGCCAGUGGAGACGGGAGGCCCAGUGCAGGCACCAGUUAAAGGGACACGGCCACUGGGCCUCCCCCCCACCCCUCCCACUGACAGGCAUAGGAGACCUUUUGUUUCUGGAUCCGAACACUAAGAAGGUGCACACAACUCAAAGGAUUUCUGACCCUGAAAGGUGCUGCUUUGACCAGCCACACUUGGCACUUGGGGGUUAAUUCUAUUUGACCACAGUCAAUAUAAUAGUCUAAUAAAUUUGACCACAUUUGAUAUUUGUAUUAAAAUUUGUGCUUCAUUCCAAA